rnacentral:rRNA from 1 species
UACAGAGGGUGCGAGCGUUUGUUCGGAAUUAUUGGGCGUAAAGGGUGCGUAGGCGGUUCCGCAAGUCCUGUGUGAAAUCUUCGGGCUCAACUCGAAGUCUGCACGGGAAACUGCGGGGCUUGAGUGUGGGAGAGGUGAGUGGAAUUCCCGGUGUAGCGGUGAAAUGCGCAGAUAUCGGGAAGAACACCCGUGGCGAAGGCGGCUCUCUGGGACGGUACUGACGCUGAGACGCGAAAGCGUGGGGGAGCGAACAGG